CAACCUGCCUUUCUGAUGGGGACAACAUCCCGAAAGGGGUGCUAAUACCGAAUGAUGUAUGUUUCCCACAUGGGAAAGAUACCAAAGAUGGCCUCUACUUGUAAGCUAUCGCAGAAAGAUGGGCCUGCGUCUGAUUAGCCAGUUGGCGGGUAACGGCCCACCAAAGCGACGAUCAGUAGCCGGUCUGAGAGGAUGAACGGCCACAUUGGGACUGAGACACGGCCCAGACUCCUACGGGAGGCAGCAGUGGGGAAUCUUCCGCAAUGGGCGCAAGCCUGACGGAGCAACGCCGCGUGAGUGAAGAAGGUCUUCGGAUCGUAAAGCUCUGUUGAGAGGGACGAAUGCCGCUUCUGUGAAUAAUGGGAGCGGAUGACGGUACCUUUCGAGGAAGCCACGGCUAACUACGUGCC
rnacentral:rRNA from 1 species